UACGGAGGGUGCAAGCGUUGUCCGGAAUCAUUGGGCGUAAAGCGCGCGUAGGCGGCCCGAUAAGUCCGCUGUAAAAGUCAACGGCUCAACUGUUGAAAGCCGGUGGAUACUGUCGGGCUAGAGUACGGAAGAGGCAAGUGGAAUUCCUGGUGUAGCGGUGGAAUGCGCAGAUAUCAGGAGGAACACCUAUAGCGAAGGCAGCUUGCUGGGACGUUACUGACGCUAAGGCGCGAAAGCUAGGGGAGCAAACGGG
rnacentral:rRNA from 1 species